UACGUAGGGUGCAAGCGUUAUCCGGAAUUACUGGGCGUAAAGCGUCCGCAGCCGGACUUGUAAGUCUGAUGUUAAAUCCCCCAGCUCAACUGGGGAAUCGUAUUGGAAACUGCAAGUCUUGAGUGAUGCAGAGGUACGUGGAAUUUAUGGAGUAGGGGUUAAAUCCGUUGAUACCAUAAGGAACACCAAAAGCGAAGGCAGCGUACUGGGCAUCUACUGACGGUCAGGGACGAAAGCGUGGGGAGCAAAAAGG
rnacentral:rRNA from 1 species